CAGCAGCCGCGGGAAUACGAAGGGGGCUAGCGUUGUUCGGAAUUACUGGGCGUAAAGGGCGCGUAGGCGGCCAUUCAAGUUAGAUGUGAAAGCCCUGGGCUCAACCUAGGAAUUGCAUUUGAUACUGUUUGGCUUGAGUUCGGGAGAGGUGAGUGGAAUUCCCAGUGUAGAGGUGAAAUUCGUAGAUAUUGGGAAGAACACCAGUGGCGAAGGCGGCUCACUGGACCGACACUGACGCUGAGGCGCGAAAGCGUGGGGAGCAAACAGGAUUAGAUACCCCGGUAGUCCCUGUCUCUUAUAC
rnacentral:rRNA from 1 species